UACGUAGGGCGCAAGCGUUGUCCGGAAUUAUUGGGCGUAAAGAGCUCGUAGGUGGCUUGUCGCGUCUGCCGUGAAAGCCCAUGGCUUAACUGUGUGUCUGCGGUGGAUACGGGCAGGCUGGAGGCUGGUAGGGGCAAGCGGAAUUCCUGGUGUAGCGGUGAAAUGCGCAGAUAUCAGGAGGAACACCGGUGGCGAAGGCGGUCUGCUGGGCCGUUGCUGACGCUGAGGCGCGACAGCGUGGGGAGCAAACAGG
rnacentral:rRNA from 1 species